rnacentral:lncRNA from 1 species
CAGGUAGCUGGGUCCAGGGGUAGGAUUGAGCAUGUGUGCUGGAGCGCAAGCAGCCUGGAAUGUGUGGCCAGGCCAUGUCUUUUGUCACCAGACCUGAGUUUAUCGUAGGGAAUAAAACGCCCAUUACUGGGAUUUAGAGGAUGUUUUCAAGGGCAGGUGAAUGAUCUGUGCGUCCUCAGACAAACUAUUGAUUGGAUAACAUGUCAGCCCCUCAUCCAAAGAAGUGUUUGUCAUUAUGUUGAUGUUCAUCAUUGCCAGUUAGUGUCCCCUGCCAUGUUCCUUCAUCCCAGGCCUUCACACAGGCAGGCAACACUACUAUAUCUGUGGAAAGGAGAGGCCCUACAUCCUUAGUCUCCUAACGACCCUUCACCCCUCUGGAUGAGCAAAGUCACACAUCUCUUAACUGAGACUAUGUCUGCAUUUUUACACCCAUUUUCCACUGUGUUCUUCUAAUGCGACGCUAAGCAAGAUGUGCUGAGGAGAACAGUGUUGUUUGGGAGGAGGAGGGGGGUUAGCUGUCAAGAUUCAGCCCCACACUGGGCCUACGCCAUACUGUGCUCAUUUUGACAAUGAUGAGUGCAUCAAUUUGUUUUUUGUUUCCAUCUUCCUUUAAGCUGUUGGCAUUUCACUGCUUGUGUGUAUUCACUUUUCAGAGCUGCUUUUUUCAAGCAGGCAUAAUUUAAAUCUUCUGUGUUUUAUAUAAAACGAAGCACAGUUCUUCUGUUACAUCUAGAAAGGGGUUUUCUGCCAUGUAGA